AACUGUAAGUCCAAUUAAACCUCUUUUGCUUCCCAGUCUCGGGUAUGUCUUUAUCAGCACCAUAAAGACGGACUAAUACACUCCUUUUCAUGCAGCCUCAAAUUUCACCAAUUACGGGUUUAUUCGACUUAAUGGAUGUUAUCUUUUAAAAUACAAAUACUGUGGUACUGGUGCUAAAGACUGUUAGUUACUAACACAUUAUUGUGAAUCCAUUUAAGGUAAUCACUGCCUUCCACUCUCUAAUAGAGACCAGCCUCCUGAUGAGAAUGAGAAUGUCCGAGGGAUGUAGGAUAUUUUGGAACACAGACCACUUCGGGCACCAUGGAAAUCCUGGGUGGAAGCCAGAGUGGAAAGGCCUAAGGCAGCAGAAUAGGGUGCAGCCUGGAGAGAUGGGAAUGGCCUUUGAAAGGGUCUCAGAAACUCCUGAGGACUCCCUGGAUCGCACUUUGAGAACCACUACUGAGGACAAGAUAGAAAAGACCAGGGUCCCCAGUUGGUUGCAUGGAGCAGAACCCUCUAACCACCCCACUCCCUACCCCUAGGACCAGCUACCAGCAUAUGUCUUCAAAGGAAUGGUAAAUAAAUCCUCUACUACCUUAUGAAAGCCAUUGUACUUUGAUUUCUGUUUCAGCGGUCAAACUAACAUGCUAACUAAUACAAUCCUUUGGUUGUCACAUAGGAAAGUGAGUUACUUCUUGUACCAAGCCUUGAUUAAAGGCAGGAAACCAAUUGUAGAUCCAGAAGGUCUUCGUUUUCAAGAUAAAUGGGAAGAAGCAUGUUUCCUUAUAGAAGUUACAUGUUUCCUGGCUUUCAGAUCCCUAGGGUGUCUGUUUCACUUAGCAUAGCCACUUCCUUCAUUUAUACCUGCUGGCCCCAGUAGGUAAAUGAAUUAGUUGGGGGCCAGUGGAAGUUUUCUGGUAGAAAAGUGAAGUCAUCAGAGCAGUUCUUCAGGAAGGUCAAUCUGACAGCCAUGGAGGCAGUGGACUGGAAGGGAAAGAGGCCAACAAUGGGAGAGCUGGGCAGCUGUAAGGCCACUGUUAGAUUCUAUGAGAAUUAAUGAGAGUCUAAAUUAGGUGCUGGGUGGGAGAAGUAGAGUGAAUUAAAAAUAUUAAUGUUCCAAUUUCUGUUACCUACACAGCAAUAGCUACUGAGAGCUAUAACCCAGAGCAUUCCCCAACUCUGCACACAGACCAUUCCUUUUUGUGGUUUAUUUUCAGAUUCCUGCCUGUUGGCCUGGGCCAUGCAGAAACGUCAAGGAUCCCUUUAAGCCUUUUCCAAUGAGCAUAAAGGAAGGCUUCAUCUUCCUUUUCCCAGGACCCAAUUACCACAUAAUGCUGAGGGUAUGUGGAACAGAGGACACACUUGGCCACAUUACACCACUCAGUAGGCAGCAGAGGAAAGACAGUUGCCCCCCCCAGGCUAUCUGCAUUAUAAUCCCAUCAAAAGUUCUGCCUUCCAGUCCCAAGAAGGGAACAAGGGGGUCAUUGCCCUGGGUGGCCCCUAUAUAUAUCCAGGGAUAUCCUUGAUGGUCCUUGGCACUUACCAUAGCCCUUUCUUCCUGAGUGUUGGAAUGAAGUGUAAGAAGGAGACAAUAUGUGCCUGGCAAUAGGAAGGGUAAUGAUAGCUAACAUGUCUAGAUAAUGUGUAAUAUUCUGGGUACAUCUUUAAGUCCUUUUACAUACAUUGCACCAUGUAAUUACAACUGGUACUAUCAUAAAAACCAUUUAAGACAAGUGCUGAUAUCAUCCCCUUAUUAUAGAUAAAGGAACUUAGGCACAGAGAUAUUAAAUCACUUGCCAAGGUCAUAUGUCUAAUAACUGGAAAAGCUGACAUUUCAACCAGGUCACCUGUCUCCAAAGGCAUGAAGUCUUAACCAUAGCAUUCUACCAUCUCAAAUAUAGCAACAAAAGUUCUGGAGAAGAGUGGUUUCCAAGAGUGUGAGCAAAGGGAGGGAUAGUUUUUCAUAUACCUAUUCAGAGUAACUGACACCCAAACAAACAGAACGAGAUCAAAAUCAAUCUGAUUCUCUUUCUAUGCCUUUACACCACAUGCCCAAAUCCAUCAGGACCUCCUGUGUUGGAGACAGAAUGAAAUUAAAUACAAGUCUUAAGUGAUGAGUCUGGAUUUCUGGACUAUUGGUUUGGAAUAAAAUUGGAAGCUUUUUUUUUUUCAUAACCUGCAGAACAGCAGUGGAAAGCAUGCCUGGUUCCAGGUUGCUACUGGGCUUCUGACUACACAUCACAUAGAGAAGAAUCUGUCACCAGGGCAGACACUUGGAAGCAUUUGCCAUCAUACCUGUGCACUCUGAGGAGGCCAACAAAGUCUUGCACUCUCUCCCCACUGGGGAUUCGAGGUCUAGCCAGGCUUUCUUGAUAGAUAGGGAAGACUUUGGCACAGUUGCUCAAAGGCCAUCCAUAUAUUUUUCUUCCAGAAAGAUUGGGAGUUACAUUUGCUGGAUCUAUGUUCAUGCCAUUUGCCACCAGGUAAUUUUCUAUGCAUUUAAAAAAUGCUUGCUUAAACAUUUUACCAACUCUAUGACACCUUUUUCUCUUCCAGUAGGCAGAAUCCCCUUCUUGGGACUUUCAUAGCACUUGGAUCACAGUUUAUUUUAGUAUCUGUUAAACUGCAUUACAAUUGAUUAUUUAUGUACUCAUUCUUCCACCAGAUUGUGAGCUUAAGAGAGGGAUUCUGCCUCUUCCACCUUUGGGCCUUUGCACCAAGCACAGGGGUGUGACCCAGAGUAGGUCCAACGGUUAACAAAGGAAAAACAGAAGAAUGAAAAGAGAGUGAGAGGUGGAUAAUGGUGCUAACACCCUUUAUGACAUGAUUCAAGAUGCAAGAUGUCCUGGGAAUAACCCUCCUGUCCACCUUCCUGGCCCUGUUUCUGUAUCUGACAUUGUACUAUAAUAAAGGAGUUGUCAAAAAUAA